GGUCGUGUGGCCUAAUGGAUAAGGCGCUGGACUUCUAAUCCAGAGAUUGCGAGUUCGAGUCUCGCCACGAUCA